UUACAGGAACAUUCAGAACAAAAGGCAGUACAAAUGUCUUAAAGAUGAUGCAGAAAAUGUUACUAAGGGAGAUGGCCCUGCCAAAGGCCAAGAGAGGGAACAACUUAUUUAAAAGUUCAGUUCUCUCUUUGCGGCUGACGCUGAGGCCAGGAGUUGAGUCGAGUCUGUUGUUAGGAAAACUUGUUCAAAAACCUUUUAGACAGUGGUUUUCAGAGUGUGACAGACUGUUCACUAGCAACAGCAGUGUCUCCUGGGAAUUAACAAAUGCAAAUUCCCAGGCCCCACCCCGACCUACUGAACCUGCAGCUCUGUGGGUGAGGCCGGCACCCUCUGUUUGAACAAGCCCUCCAGGGGAUGCCAACACACAAGCUCCAACCGAGAACCACAGGUGGAGAGUUUGCAAGUUAGGACAGGUUCGGGACGCAGCCGGAGAGCUAGCCGGCACAGCGCUGUGAAGAAAGAGGACUUGAACAUUUCCACUGGCAGGUGGAAAAACAGAAAGGAACUGUCUCAGAACCUGGCUGACCUGAUUCUGCUGAUGACUCAGCUCCGAAGGACUCCUCAUCGGGAAAGUGACUCCUCAUCGGGAAAGUGAAUCGUACAUUACACGUGAAACAGGGAGAGAGGCUCCCUGGUGCUGUGUUUAGGGCCAGGUCUUACCACCCUUCUGCCCGUGACUUCUGGAUAUGUCAGAUCUAUCGCCCUCAUGUUCAGAGGAGCCGUGAAGAAACUGAAUGGAUCUCAGUCCUCUGUCUUUGCUCUCUCCUCUAGAGCGUUUAUCACGCAUUGGUGAUUCUCUUCCUAGCAGUUAAAUAUCGACUUUAAGAAAAAGAAUAUCACCCCAGGGCCCAAAGAGGAAACAUUACCCUGGGCUAAUCUGUCCACUAUUUGAAUUGCAAGAACAAAACUUAUCAUCUGAAUGUAACACCUGGAAAGGUCAUCCUGACCCACUUUAUCCACAAGUAUGAGCUGGCACAUAAUAUUGUCCCAGAAACAAGAAUGCUCAAGUCCCUACCCUGCGUGUGCUACCUGUGUGGACACAUGGCCUCGUGUAUCCCUACCCCACCCACCCCACGUGGCAUCUAAUUAUCAUUCUCAUUUAGUUUUGAGCUCAGAUUAUUGCAAAUGUGGACAGUAAAGUCCCUUCAAGGUGGGUCCUUGUGCCUGGGUCAUAUUGCCAUGAUUCUUGGCAGCAUAUCCUUACCUUCCAGUGCAACUGAACGUUCCAGGCUUGAAGGGCUCUUCCCUUUCUGCUCACAAAGCCAGGUGGGGUGGGAGGUGGUGGCUAACUUCUCCCUCACCUGGACUGCUCUGACACAUCCCAGCCCUGGGAGGUUGGCUGAAACCUCCACCCUGCCCCCGUGAGUUAGGUGAGUGAGGUCAGGGCAGAGCCUGGGAAGGGCAAGUUGGCUCUAGAGCCAUGUGCUUCAUCAUCUGUCCAGACUGCUCAGUAAACAGGAAAGGUUCAUUAAAGUUAAAAAAAAAAAAAAAAAAUGCUCCGGGCUCAUCCGGCAGCUCCAGCCUCACACUUCUCCAGCCUGGCUUUCAGCCACUUCGCCAAGGACGCCGGUUUCUUGUCAUGGGGCGUGGUAUUAGAGACCCAGGUCUGCCCCGGCCUGUGCUCAGUGUUCCUGGAGCGUCUCUCUUCUGAGCCCUUUUAGUGGAAAGAGCCAGGAAAUAUACACGUGCACGCACACGCGUUAGUACGCAUGUGCAGACGCGGUCUGCACGUGAGCGCGUGUAUAUACAUAGAUACAGACACACGUAGUUUAAGCAUCAUGAACUCACAUCAUGAACUCAUGCUAGUAUCUCCGGUUCCAGUUUACUGUUUCUUUGUUUUGAAUGUACGGAUGGGACCCUUUUCUCUCUUUUUUAAAAAAUUCUUUUAUUUUUCUAAAUUUCUUGGCCUCCCUGGUGCUGCAUGUGGGAUCUUAGAUCCCCCAGCCAGGAUUGGCAACCAGGCCCCUGUAUUGCAGGGAAGUCCCUCCAGUUUACCUUUCUUACCUUCCCCCUCCCACAUCUAUGUGUCUCUUCUUUCCCAGUGAGAAUCUUAGCUUCCGGAAACAUCAGGACAUGAGUCAUUUGCUCAGUCCUGUAUUACAUCUGAAAUAGUGUCAGAAUACCUUCACCCACAGCCACUACUGAAACAAACCUGCUAAAAAGACGUCAGGAUCUUUCUAGUUCUCCCAUCUUCCUGCCCAGCCUGAGAUGGAGGACAAAUAGCUCUAGGUCAAAACUUGUUAAAAAUUAUUCAAAUUAGGUUUUCCCCUCCUGUGGUUAUAGUUAUUAAUAUUAUUGAUUCUAAAUAAUAAUAUAUUAUUAGAUAACUAACUUACAUUUUUUGUUUCAUUUCUCUUC
ensembl:lncRNA